ensembl:lncRNA
CACAAUCAUAAAACACUUUAUUGACAACUAACCAACUUACAGUACAUCUCUGUACACCAGUGAACAUUCUUCUCCUUGACAAUCUCUUCAUCUGCUCAGUGCUAUGCUAACCCUCCUACGCUAAGCUAACCCGCUAAAAGAGCUCGACAAUUCUUUAGGGGAGGGGCAUGUAUGUGUCUACAUAUCCAGUGUGUGUGCGUGUGUGUGUGUGCGUGCGUGUGAGCGUGUUUGUGUGACAGAGAACUGGAUUGGGGACACGGGGCAGAACAGCGUGGGGUCUGACCCAGGAUUCAAACCGACACACCCUCUGUUUGGCGGGCUGCGACCUCUGUAAAUACAACACAUCUGUAUUCAUGUAUCCGUAACACAUCCCUGCUUUAGAUCAGGUCUCUCUCUCUCUCUCUCUCUCUCUCUCUCUCUCUCUCUCUCUCUCUCUCUCUCUCUCUCUCUCUCUCUCUCUCUCUCUCUCGUUUCGCGGGACUGCUCCACAGAUUGGCUUCGUGGUCCCAGGCUGAAGUUGCAUUGCAUCGUCGGUAAAGUAGUCAUUAGAUUAGUAUAUUUCAAAGUUCUUUGAAUGUCAGGCAGGUGGCCCGUUGUCGUAGAAACAAACACUCAGUUAGAAGAGGAAACUCAGUUCAGCAGGAAGUGAGGUCAUAAUGUCCAUAGAAACCAGUUCCUGUUCCCUACUGGGGCUCUCAAGAAACAAACAGUAUUUAGUCAUGACUAUUUAGCAAUUAAUACAAUACUACAAGAAUGCCGGGGAGAGGAGAGGAUGAGAGGGAGAGGAGAGGGAGGAGAGGAGAGGAGAGGAAAGGGAGGAGAGGAGUCUUCUUCAUCAAACUUCAAAGUAAAUUAGAUUGACAGGUUUCAUCCAAUCAGAUGCCUUCAGAACACAGGUACUUGGACCCUGGAGAAUCUCUCUCUCCCUCUCUCUCACACACACACCUGGGAUGGUAGGGGGAUGAAAUCAGGCGUGGAGAGGUCACGUGUUUAGGGGCGGAGCUUCAAUCCGUCCAAUCCUUGAGUCACCCUUGGAUGCAAAGUGGGUGGGGUUAAUGAUGUCAGAGAUAUGGCAGAAGAUGAUCGGCUGGCCUACAACACAGGAGCUUGGUCGCCUUGCAACUCUCCCGUUUCAUCAGCAGCUGAUAGGUCCUUCUGGCAGAGGGCGGAGUCAGCGGUCGACCAACCAGACGAAGGUUUAACCUUCCCAGCCAUCCCAGAUCUGACCCCUACAUGGACACACACACACACGCAUCAAAACGAAAGCCUUUCCAUGUCAAAGGCAUCUCUAAGGAUGGUUGUUUUUGAAAAGUAACAAAAUCGAACAGAGAGACAGACAGACAAACAGACAGGCAGACUGGUAGGCUGACAGACAUGCAAGCAGGCAGACAAGCAGGCAGACAGCUGACUGACACUAAACACACUACAAACACACACUACAGUGAGACAGAUUAGGGGAGGGAGAGAGAGAGAGGGAGAGAGGGAGAGAGA